UACGUAGGUGGCAAGCGUUGUCCGGAUUUACUGGGUAUAAAGGGAGCGCAGGCGGGAUAGCAAGUCAGCGGUGAAAUGUAUGGGCUUAACCCAUGAACUGCCGUUGAAACUGUUAUUCUUGAGUGGAGUAGAGGCAAGCGGAAUUCCGAGUGUAGCGGUGAAAUGCGUAGAUAUUCGGAGGAACACCAGUGGCGAAGGCGGCUUGCUGGGCUCUUACUGACGCUGAGGCUCGAAAGUGUGGGGAGCAAAC
rnacentral:rRNA from 1 species